GGGUGCGAUCAUACCAGCACUAAAGCACCGGAUCCCAUCAGAACUCCGAAGUUAAGCGUGCUUGGGCGAGAGUAGUACUAGGAUGGGUGACCUCUUGGGAAGUCCUCGUGUUGCACUCCA
rnacentral:rRNA from 1 species